AAAUACGUGAUACAUUCUGUGGUUAAUAUUCUUGUUAUUCAAUUGACUAUCACAAUGCGUGUUAUUUUGUCGAUUGCUGUUAUCUUUAUCGUUGCUGUGCCUGUCAGCGGACACAGGAGGAGAGGGUAUUCUUCACAAGUUGGACGGAGGCGAAAUCUGAAAGCCAUCAGUUGUUCAAAAGUAAAAGAAACAAAUCUGUGUGAUUCCUGCUGCACUGUUGACCCUUGUGGUAAUCGAUGUCUGAACAAUGGUACGUGUGUUAAUGGUACCUGUGUUUGUCCUCCGUCUUUUGGUGGAGAUGAUUGCAGAGAUCGGGUAUGCAAUGAAACACUGUGUAUAUUAGAUUUUAAGACUUGUAAAGUCAUCGUAUGUCUGUCAGACGCAUUAGACUGUGGAGGUAUUGUUUGUAAUGCGAGUGAAAUGUGCUUCAGAGAUAAGUGUACAACCCAGGCAACUAUUGAUUCUACAGUAUGUGCUGGUUUUAGUUGUCGAAAACGAGUUCAAGGCGAACCAUGUGGGUCUGGAUUUUGUCCAGUCAACACAAACUGUGUGAAUGGCGUUUGUAGUGGUGACUGUAACACUGUUGCCGAAUGCGAAGAUAGGGUGUGCAUCAAUGGUACUUGCGUUACUCCAUCAUGUAGCGAACCGUUUUGCGCUUUCCCUUGAAUGCAGAUUCAAUCGAAUAUGAAAGAAAUGAUAACUAGAAUGCAAAAAUAAACAGAUUUAUCAUCUUG